GGGGAUGAUGGGCCUCGAGGAAGAGCGAAGCGCCAAGUGCUCAGGCGCCCCGCCAUGGCGGGGCUAAAUCUACCAUGGGAAACAAUAAGUGCAAACUUAUUCAAAAGAAUCGCGGGCGGUUGGGGAUUAAUUUCUCCGAUGCAGCUUGCGACUUCCUACGCUUAACAAAGCAUGGGCAUCCGUCUCUGAUUCUCGCUAGGAGGUCGCGGGUGUUAUAAGCGAGACUCCCCCGCCGAGCGGGCGGGAAAAACAAUUCUCGGCUGAAAAGCCGAUAAGCCUGUAAACCGCCGGUUCCGACCUUUUCCGACCCGGGUUCAACUCCCGGCAUCUCCAAAA
rnacentral:tmRNA from 1 species